UACGUAGGGGGCAAGCGUUGUCCGGAAUCAUUGGGCGUAAAGAGCGUGUAGGCGGUUCGGUAAGUCGGCUGUGAAAGUCCAGGGCUCAACCCUGGGAUGCCGGUCGAUACUGCCGGACUAGAGUUCGGAAGAGGCGAGUGGAAUUCCCGGUGUAGCGGUGAAAUGCGCAGAUAUCAGGAGGAACACCGGUGGCGAAGGCGGCAUCCUGGACCAACACUGACACUGAGGAGCGAAAGCCAGGGGAGCAAACGGG
rnacentral:rRNA from 1 species